rnacentral:lncRNA from 1 species
CAACUCUGACGUUUUAAGGGUAAUGCAUUAUGGAUGUACCACAUACAAAGGCAGCAUUUAGCUGCGAUCACAUCUAGCAAACAGAAACUGAUUCUCUGAAUCCUGCUUAUCAGUGGACUGUGCUUGAUCGCGGCUCUCGAAUCAUUUAGUCUAUAAAAUUCAAUGAAAGAAACUGAUGAAAAUGGGUCAGAUGAUUUCCGCUAAGGGUAAGAAUGAAAGAUCGAGGAAAGAACGCAGCCUCCAUCCGUAUUCACUGCUUGUUUUCUCAAAUGCUGUCCUUCUGGAUGGAAAACUGUUCGUCUCUCCCCAGCAGUUCCAGGCCUAAUAGGCGAAGCCAAUUUUCCUGACGUUCUAUUUACCUCGUUUUUGCUUUCGUUUCCUUUGAUAAAGACCUAUUGGUAUGAAGACUGAGGAGGUGGGGGGACGGUAUUUUACAUCCCGGUUCUGGUUCAAUUACUUCCAGCUACAUCGGUACACUGCCAGAGACAGCUGCAGAAGGAAAGAGGCUGGUCCUUGCAGUAUUCUAAGGAAAGGAAAUGUCUGGCUUAUCUUCAAGAAAACCUCUGUCUACCUAUGGAGUCAGUGGUGGAACAAAUGACUUUCAAGAGGAAUACAAUCCCAAAUUAGGAGCCAUCUAUUUAAGAGACCAAUUCUUUAAAAUGAGUAUUAUGUUUGUUUCUUGUGUAUAACAUAGUAAUUUAGUAUUUAAAUCCAUUAAGAAAUAAUCAUCAUGAUAAGUCUAGUAAUCACAUGUCACCAUAUGAAAGUAUACACUAUCAGUGACCAUAUUCUUUAGGCUAUAUAUUAUAUCCCAGUGGUUUGUUUACUUUAUAGAUAGAAGUUUGUACCUCUUAAUCUUUUUCUCUUGUUUCAACCACAUUCCACCUUCCUCCGCUUUGGCAACCUCUAAUUUGCUUUCUGUAUAUAUAAAUUUGUUUUUGUUUUCUUUUGUGUAUUUUAUUUUAUAGAUUCCACAUAUAAGUGAGAUGACAUUGUACUAGUCUUUCUCUGUUUAACUUAUUUCACUUAGCAUAAUACCGUCUAGGUCAAUCCAUAGUGUCACAGAUGACAAUACUUGAUUCUUUUUUAUGCCUGAGUAAUAUUCCAUUGUGCGAAUGAUGUGUAUGUGUGUGUACACAUCACACACGUCCUCUUUAGAAAUUCAUCAUUUGAUGAUCACUGAGGAUGAUUUCACAUUCGGCUAAGAUAAAUAGUGCUGAAAUGUAUGUAGCUGUGCAUACAUCUUUUUGGAUUAGUAUUUUUGCUUUACUAGGGUACAUACUCAGAAAUAGAAUUGGUGGAUUGUGUGAUAGUUCUAGUUU